GCCCCCGUAGCCUAGCGGUCAAGGCGUCAGCCUUGUAAGCUGAAAACCCCGGGUUCGAAUCCCGGCGGGGGCU
rnacentral:tRNA from 1 species